UACGUAGGGGGCAAGCGUUGUCCGGAAUCAUUGGGCGUAAAGAGCGUGUAGGCGGCCAGAUAAGUCCGCUGUGAAAUCUCGAGGCUCAACUUCGAGCUGUCGGUGGAUACUGACAGUCUUGAAGGUGCUAGGGGGAGAUGGAAUUACCGGUGUAGCGGUGAAAUGCGUAGAGAUCGGUAGGAACACCAGUGGCGAAGGCGGUCUCCUGGGGGCAUUCUUGACGCUGAGACGCGAAAGCUGGGGGAGCGAACGGG
rnacentral:rRNA from 1 species